CUCGUAGUUGGAUAUCUGGCAGGAGCGACCGGUCAUACACUAUGUGUGUGUACUUGUGUUGUCUCUGGCCAUCCUUGGGGAGAUCCUGUUUGGCAUUAAGUUGUCGGGCAGGGGAUACCCAUCGUUUACUGUGAAAAAAUUAGAGUGUUUAAAGCAGGCUUAUGCCGUUGAAUAUAUUAGCAUGGAAUAAUAAGAUAGGACUUCGGAACUAUUUUGUUGGUUUGCGUUACGAAGUAAUGAUUAAUAGGGACAGUUGGGGGUAUUCGUAUUUCGUUGUCAGAGGUGAAAUUCUUGGAUUUCCGAAAGACGAACUACUGCGAAAGCAUUUACCAAGGAUGUUUUCAUUAAUCAAGAACGAAAGUUAGGGGAUCGAAGAUGAUUAGAUACCAUCGUAGUCUUAACCAUAAACUAUGCCGACUCGGGAUUGGCG
rnacentral:rRNA from 1 species